GGAGGAAUACCGGUGGCGAAGGCGGCCCCCUGGACAAAGACUGACGCUCAGGUGCGAAAGCGUGGGGAGCAAACAGGAUUAGAUACCCUGGUAGUCCACGCCGUAAACGAUGUCUACUUGGAGGUUGUGCCCUUGAGGCGUGGCUUCCGGAGCUAACGCGUUAAGUAGACCGCCUGGGGAGUACGGCCGCAAGGUUAAAACUCAAAUGAAUUGACGGGGGCCCGCACAAGCGGUGGAGCAUGUGGUUUAAUUCGAUGCAACGCGAAGAACCUUACCUGGUCUUGACAUCCACAGAACUUUCCAGAGAUGGAUUGGUGCCUUCGGGAACUGUGAGACAGGUGCUGCAUGGCUGUCGUCAGCUCGUGUUGUGAAAUGUUGGGUUAAGUCCCGCAACGAGCGCAAC
rnacentral:rRNA from 2 species